rnacentral:rRNA from 1 species
AGUGAACGCUGGCGGUAGGCCUAACACAUGCAAGUCGAACGGCAGCACAGUAAGAGUUUGCUCUUACGGGUGGCGAGUGGCGGACGGGUGAGGAAUACAUCGGAAUCUACUUUUUCGUGGGGGGUAACGUAGGGAAACUUACGCUAAUACCGCAUACGACCUACGGGUGAAAGCAGGGGAUCUUCGGACCUUGCGCGAUUGAAUGAGCCGAUGUCGGAUUAGCUAGUUGGCGGGGUAAAGGCCCACCAAGGCGACGAUCCGUAGCUGGUCUGAGAGGAUGAUCAGCCACACUGGAACUGAGACACGGUCCAGACUCCUACGGGAGGCAGCAGUGGGGAAUAUUGGACAAUGGGCGCAAGCCUGAUCCAGCCAUACCGCGUGGGUGAAGAAGGCCUUCGGGUUGUAAAGCCCUUUUGUUGGGAAAGAAAAGCAGCAGGUUAAUACCCCGCUGUUCUGACGGUACCCAAAGAAUAAGCACCGGCUAACUUCGUG